rnacentral:lncRNA from 1 species
UCUAAUUCAUGCUCCACAGUGCAUAUAGAGUGGUCUUAGAAAACAAUAUUCUGAUCAUAUCUUUUUCCAUUAUUAAAGUCCUUUAAUUGUUCCUUAUUGCCCCCAGGGUGCACUUUGGUCUCUUCAGCAUGGCUCCCAAAUUUGUGUUGUGUUAACAAAUUCACAAGACCUCCUCUGCUCUCCAUAGCAUCUGGGAAUUUGUGCUUAGUCUGUCUGCGUAGAACACCCCUGUCAUACCUCUUUAUUUUCCUGUCAGUUUUAGUUAUCCCUCAGGCCUUGGUUCAACCAUUACCUCUUCUGUAAUCCUAUGAUGACACACCAACCCCAGAUUAUGAUCCUGCAGUUCCCAGCGUUCACCCCUCUUGUAGCACUUAUAAUGCUUUCCUGAGAAUGCCUGGUGAAUGUACUGUAAGUGUCUUCUAGGCAUGGCCUCUGUGUCUCGUUUUUGAAUUCCUGGGGCCUAUAAAAGUACCUGUCACAUAAUAGAUUCUCAGUAAACAUUUGUGAUAUCCGUGAAUUAUUUAUUGUAGUUACUUUAGACACGCUUCUCAUUAAACCAAUUGAAGAAGUGAUGCAGUAUAAGCUUGUGCUUUUUCUCUGUUCUUUUCUGGCACGUGCAUUUCAGUGGAUAAGGAAGUAUCUCUAAAGCUUACGGCAAAUUCAUCAUAGUCUCCUGUAGGACAUGACUGGAGCAGGAAGGUGAGUGUGCAUUUAAUAGAUAAGUUUAAAACAAGUCUAGGUCAGGAGAAGGGGAGAGAUGGGAGGUUCUGGCAACUCUCUCCCAAAGUCUGCUUUGCCAAAUAUUCAAAGACUGGGAAGGUUGGGUUACCUACAGACUCCUGGAUGUAGCUUUUCAUUUAUUGACACUGAAGGGAGGGGCUAUGACCUGGCAGGCUGGAGGUGCCUCACUUUGAAGAUAAGGGGUCGGCGGGAGGCUUCUUCCUCUCUUCCCUAAAGGUAAAGGGAUCCUUCCAGUGAUGGGGAUGACAAGCUUGGAGUAAGUCAGCAGUGCAGCAAACAGGGCAGGUUGCGUUACUUCUUUUUUACUUCUGAAGAAACUGUUUCUAUGGCUGAUGGAGCUGAGGAGGCUGAAGUUGGUUUCUUUGAUUCCAGGACAUUGAAGUUCAGGGAAGAAAAUGCAGCUUCAUCCAUCUGAAAGACUUGAGCAUCGGUCAGUUAAAUCAGUGUCAUAGGUCAGGCCCUCACCUGGUCCAGUGUGAUUCAGUACCACCUGCUAUCACCACUUUGAAACUUUUAGCUUUGGAGAAGAGCUUUUAUCACCCAUUGUCUCUGCUUGCUAACAUCCAAUGAUCAUUGGAAGAGAGAGAUUAUGAUGUUAGUACAAUGGAAUAUGAUGAUGCAAUAAUGAGAAUGAACACACUACAAAUGCAUACAACAAUAUGGAUGAAUCUCACAAAACAAGUGUGAAUGAAAGAAGCCAGACACAUAUAUGGAUAUGCUGUGUCUGUCAUUUAUGAAAUAGCAUAAACAGGCAAAACUAAUCUAGUGCACUGGAAGUCAGGAUAGUGGUUACUCUUCGAAGGGAAGUAGCUGGAGGGGUUUUUGUCGGGGGAUGACAUGUUUUGUUUCUUGAUUUCGGUGCUCCUUACAUCGAAAUAGAAAAGUCCAUCCUAAAGUUCAUGUGGAAUUUCAAGGGACUCAAAUGUCCAAAAUAAUCUUGAAAAAGAACAAACCUGGAGGACUCAUGCUUCCUGAUUUCAAAAUUUACUACAAAGGCAAAGAAUCUGAGGCCCAGAGACAUUACAAAUAGCUUGCCCGAAGUGUCACAGUGGGGAUUCAGGAGCAGGAACUCCGGCACAGGUGGUCUGGCUCUGGAACAGGUGCUCUCAGGCUUUAUGUUCCCUGGGGUAGAGACCCUGACUUUCUUCUUUCUGUAUCCUUCCUGGAGUCUAACGCUG